UCCGAGAUGGUCUAACGGUCAUGAUUUCCGCUUGUCACGCGGGAGACCGGGGUUCGACUCCCCGUCUCGGAG
rnacentral:tRNA from 1 species